UGUGUGUGUGCCAUGUACCCCCCUCCCCCUACUAGCUAAAGAGUGUUCCAUGUCCACCGCUGGCCCAAACGCUGGCUAAUGUGCACGGCGACAGCGGCGGGAAGCCACAGACCCAGCGUGAAUUGAGCGGCGCCCGGUGCUCUCCUCCUCCGCCCUCUCUCAGACAGAAGCCCCUGCUUGACGGCCGGCGGCUGUGUAGAGCGCACAGCCGUUCACCGCCGCUAGCCGCCCACCGCCGCCAGCCACUCACCGCCACCAGCCGCAACAAAUGAGUCAGAGCAUUGCUAUGGCGAUGUAAGGAAGGGAACGGACGUCAUCAGUAGGCGCCUGAGUCCCGGAGUUGCACGCUGAGUGACACACGUGGUGGGGAUCCUAUUUAAGUGUGUUUAUAAAAACGGAAGCGUUAAACCUUCUGCCGGAAGAUUGGCAGUCUGAGGGUCACUUAAUCCUGCAUGGCGAUGAUGAGAGA